rnacentral:misc_RNA from 1 species
GAUGAAGAACGUAGCGAAAUGCGAUAAGUAAUGUGAAUUGCAGAAUUCAGUGAAUCAUCGAAUCUUUGAACGCACAUUGCGCCCCUUGGUAUUCCGAGGGGCAUGCCUGUUCGAGCGUCAUUAUAACCCCUCAAGCUCAGCUUGGUGUUGGGGCCUGCCGCACGGGCAGCCCUUAAAAUCAGUGGCGGUGCCAUCUGGCUCUAAGCGUAGUAAUUCUUCUCGCUAUAGAGUCCCGGUGGAUGCUUGCCAUUAACCCCCAAUUUUCUAUGGUUGACCUCGGAUCAGGUAGGGAUACCCGCUGAACUUAAGCAUAUCAAUAACGGAGGA